ACGCCCAUUUUACGUCGUGGUAAUGAAACCCCUGGAAUUUAGUGCAUGCCGUUGCUAGACGGAAGGGAGCACAUACAGUUUUGACCACACACACACUUUCAAACGCACAAACUUUCACACACACACCCACAAACACAAACAAACGCUCACGCGCAUUCACACAGAGAGCCGCAUACAUUCAUUCAUGCUUUAGCAUGACGGUUUGUUUUGUUUGUAAGUCAAGAUAUGUGGCAGUGUUUGACUUCUACGAACGGAAACUUACCUGAAAGGAAAUUUGUGAACUAUUGGAGUUUGCAACUGCAAUAAACGUAAACAUCUUCGGAAACAAGUAAGACUGUUCAUUUCAUUUACACCACAUCAGCCAGAGGACAGUGUGCGUCAGCUGGGUGCCUGUCUAACAACAUCUCAGAGACUUCAAGCAAUAGGCUUAGCCUCUACAAAGGGGCUUUAACAAAAGUAAAAUGUAACUUUUUUAACAGAAUUAAAAAAAAUGUUUUAAAAUUACAAGAUCAAUUAGACAAGGAUGUCCUCUUUCAGCGCUAUUAUAUUCCCUAGUCGCAGAACCUUUAGGGUUAGCAAUAAAACAAGAAACUAAAAUUAAAGGAAUAAAAAUAGAAGAAGAGGAGGAUGAAGGAAAAAUAUACCAGUAUGCUGAUGAUACAACAAUAAUAGUGAAGGAGAAAAAGAGUGUAAAAGAAGCCAUGAAAAAAGUACAAGAGUUUUGUAAGGGGACAGGAAGCAAAAUAAAUUAAAAUAAAACACAAUAUAUGAGGUUUGGUAAAGCAGAUAUUUUAACAGAUUGUUUCCAAUUUAGAGAAGUAGAAGAAAUAAAAUUUUAGGAAUUUUAAUUGGUAAAAAUGAAAGAAAAGCAACAGAAAAGAUGUGGUAUGAUCUAAUAAGAGGAAUAGAAUCAAGAAUAAAUUUCUGGAGGAUAAGAGAACUUUGCUUAAAGGGGAAAGCCUUAAUAUUAAAUGUUUUAAUGACAUCAAAGCUAUGGUAUAAAUUAUAUAUAACAGAAAUGCCAUGUUGGAUAGAAGGGAGAUUGAUAAAGUGUGUUUAAGAUUUUUUUAUGGGAGGGGAAACCCCUAAGAAUUGCAUACAAUACAAUAAUAGGAGCAGCAGAAGAAGGAGGGAUAGGAUUGAUUGAAUUUAAACAAAUGAAGAAUUUUCUUAGAGUCAAAAUGGUUAAAAAGCUUUUACAAGAGGAGAACUCAACAGAAUGGAAAAAGGUCAUAAAAUACUUUUUUUUUUAAAAAGUUGGCAAUUUUAACUUAAGAGAAGAUAUUCUUUGGUUUAAAAAUAAAAAAACCUGAAUGAUGGAAAAGUUACCAGGGUUUUAUCAAGACAUUUUAAGUGGUAAGUCAUUUUUUGACUUUUGCCAAGUUUUAAUUUAAGUGUUGAGGUGAAGUCUUUUGACUAAUUUGAUAUUCAAAACAUCCUGUGUUCAAAGACAAAUUUACUAUACCAUGCCACUGUCCAGAUCGGAAACUUGGCACAAGGAGUCACUGGCAUUGUCCUAAAUGUGCCAAAAUAAUAAGCAGAUCUGUAGAUUUUAAAACACACUUGCGUAAACAUGGUAGGCUAUUGUAAAUAUUCUAAAUCCUUUAAGCGUAAUGAGUGAAAAUGCAUUUUUCAACUGUAUAAUUCCCUUUCUCUGCAACUACAGGUCUGAUGGUGCCAACAACAACAUCUGAAUCACAUUGCUGUUGGUAGAAUGCUGCGCACUAUAGAAUCUCAUUCUGGGACUACAGUGCCACACAACACUUUGAGAAAAGCAUUCUAUCACUUCAGUGCUCUCAGGCAGUAUACGUACAGUUAUUUCUGUAACGCUGUGGACACCACCCAUCUGUGGUCAUUGCUGAUGCAAUCGGGAAGAUUGCCUUUGAUUUGCCAGAUAUCGGUGGCUGCUGCAGCAUGAACUACAAUUGAGGGCCAUCCUGUGAAAUAUUUAUUUAAGGUCCUCUUUGAAUUUGUUGGUUCACGUAAUGACUCAACAGAGUUUUUUAUCAUCCGAGAAAUGACAUUAGCGAUGUCAAUAAUGAGGACUGCCUCUGGGACACUUCUCGACCACAACAUAUUGACUCCAUUAAAUAUACAUGUUCAGUGGUUGCACAUGGAGAGCCAUCACGUCUGCAUUCUCCAGUGGCAUCCCCUCUGUCCUCUCCAGUGGCAUUGCCUCGGCCUUCUCCAGUGGCGUCCCCUCUGUCCUCUCCAGUGUCAUCCCCAUCAGCUGCAGUAGUCUCUAAACCAGAUGUUGAUCUCGAUUCAUUACUGCACAACAUGCAGAACUGGGUGGAUUUUACUUCAUCACCACCAUCAAAUCAAAUUAUUAUCACACCGGACAACAUCCUGGGAAGUGCAAUUCGUGCUUUUCGGCGCCAGUCGUUUGACCCAGAAAAAACUGGAUGUUGUAUUCAGAGAUGCUGAUGGUAUUGGAGAGGGGGCAGCAGAUGAGGGUGGUUCCACAAGAGAGUUUUUAACUUUAUUAAUGAAGGAGAUACAUUCCUGUGAGAUUUCUGAUGGUCCUGACUGGCAGAAGAUUCUUUCCUGCAAUUUGAAAGGAUAAAGUGUCCAAACACAGAGAAAAACUCCUGCUGAAGUGACU